ensembl:lncRNA
GGGCUUCUGUCUGGUCUUGAGCAGUGCUUGACCUGUGAGCUGCAGGAGUACCUGCCCCUCACUAAACUCCUCUCCCAGACAGAAGAGUGAGUCUCAGGUCCCAGGUGGACAGUAGGCUGCUGCCUGCAGCAGCUGUGACAUAGUAUCAUUUAAGGUAAUGGCUUCUUCCAGUCAACAUCACUUGAUUAAAUUCUCCUCAAAUUAAGUAACUGAAUUCUAGGUAUUUCAUGGUUAUUAGCAAUUUGUGAAUGUCACAAUGUCUCAUUGGAUCCAUAAAUUGGAAACAGUCAACUACAUAGAGGCCUAUAGGAAGAGUAUAUUAACCAACAUGAAAGCUAGUGUUAGAUUUAUUUGGCUCUAGUGUCAUCAAAACAAAAGUUGUGGAAAUACUCAGCUCUCAUGGGCAUACAAAGAAAAGCUUUUGCAUGUUGGUGCUUUUCAUGUAAUGUUCAUUCUGUAAUCAAAGGCCAGGGGCUCAAAAUCAAGGUCGAAUUGUUCUGUCACAGGGAUAGAGUGGCUUUGGGCAAGCCCCUGGGGUGUCUGGCCUCCUCAUGUCCAUCUCUUAAAUGAAAAGGCAUGCCUCACAAGCUCAAACACUACAUUCUAACUCCUGUAGUCUGAGAGGUCAAAAUUUAGCAGCUCAUCUUCCCCUUGCCAGGGUGAAAGUAUGUUUCAAAACCUGCUACCUAUGUAGAAAACAUUUUCAUGAGCCUGUAAGCUAUCUACUGUCUCCUGAACAGAAACCAGCAGGUUUACCCCUAAGUUUGUUUAGAAUAAUGUUUAUUAUACUAAAAAUUAUAGAAGCAUCAAAUGCAAGUACAGUGGAAGUCCCCUCUGAGUGUGUUGUACUCGGUGAGCAUUCUCAAGAAAAAUAAAGCACUACCUGGAUGUAAAACUGGGGGUGGGUUCAGAAAGAAGAGUGCUGGCAAAGGCUCGCCUCUUUUGGUGUGCUCAUGUGUGACAAUGCUACACCAAAGGGAGCCUGUGCUGUCCUGUGGGCUGUGGACAGGUUGACAGCACUAGCUGGUUUGAACUGUCAUUUGAGUUCCUGGGAGUUUAUGAUAGCGUACAGUUCAGAAGUCUACACCACUGUGUAUCUCCUUAUCUCUGGCUGAUAAACUCUUGAGGAUUGUGACUUACUUUGUUUCCAUUUUCUUCAGCUUUGUGCAGUUCUCUUGUACUUUAACUGUAUCUAUAUUUUCUGUUUACAAGUUAAUUUUAAGGGGAAGGGUAGGAUUUUAAGAUCUUGGUUAUUGUAGAUAAUUUUUUUCUCGUGUUGUAGAAAAGCAUGGGUUAUACAUUUGAGUGAAAAGGCACUGUAUUAUUUACCAAAGGUGUAUUGUUUGCAUUUGUUUAUAAAUGCAUUAUUUUAGUACUGUAAAUUUGGGCAUAACUUCUGAGUUUACUACUAUUGCUUCAGCUGGCAUCUGUCUUUCUCCUUCUCCGUCAUCCCCAUAAAUGUGCAAUGUGGGGUGCAUAGGUCACAGACCAAACAAGACCACCAGCAUGUAAUUGUCCACACUUUGGGAACAGCGUGCACUGUUUCGUACACAUCAGUCCCUCCAGUGUUGGUUUUUUAAUUUUUUUUAUUUUGUUUAUAAAUUCAGCAUUUUGCUUUAACCUUCCGGAAAGAUCUGUUGAGAGUCCCCAUUGCAUCUCAAUGAGCUCUCUCUUAUUUGCCUAUCUUUGUAUGUAUUUUGUAUACUAGAUUGUGCAGGACGUAUUCUAGAAGGGAUCAAUGGUUUGCAUUCAAAAUGAUGUAGUUUGUCCAAAAUAUUUUGCCUUUAAAAUUGAAAUGGGUUAAUCUCAUUUUUUUCUUGAUGAUUUGAAAUUGUAAGAUUUGUCCAGCUAUUGCUUAAUAAAAUUUUGCGGAUCAAAAAA